rnacentral:rRNA from 3 species
GGAUACACCUGUUCCCAUUCCGAACACAGAAGUUAAGCUCUCUAGCGCUGAUGGUACUUGGUGGGAAACUGCCUGGGAGAGUAGGACGUAGCCACGUA